AUUGAACGCUGGCGGCAUGCCUUACACAUGCAAGUCGAACGGCAGGCGGACCUUCGGGUGCCGGCGAGUGGCGAACGGGUGAGUAAUAUAUCGGAACGUACCUUUCAGUGGGGGAUAACGUAGCGAAAGUUACGCUAAUACCGCAUAUUCUGUGAGCAGGAAAGCAGGGGAUCGCAAGACCUUGCGCUGAUUGAGCGGCCGAUAUCAGAUUAGCUAGUUGGUGAGGUAAAGGCUCACCAAGGCGACGAUCUGUAGCGGGUCUGAGAGGAUGAUCCGCCACACUGGAACUGAGACACGGUCCAGACUCCUACGGGAGGCAGCAGUGGGGAAUUUUGGACGAAUGGGCGCAAGCCUGGAUCCAGCCAUGCCGCGUGAGUGAAGAAGGCCU
rnacentral:rRNA from 1 species